rnacentral:lncRNA from 1 species
GCGCCAUGGCGCUGUCCUGGCUGCAGCGCGUCGAGCUUGCGCUCUUUGCUGCCGCCUUCCUGUGCGGGGCCGUGGCGGCCGCGGCGAUGACUCGGACCCAGCACCAUCCCUGUGCUACUUUGUAGCUGGGGCCUCUGGCCUCUUGGCCCUCUACUGCCUCCUGCUUUUGCUCUUCUGGAUCUACAGCAGCUGCAUCGAGGACUCCCACAGGCUUGUUCUCUCCCUUUCAGAGGUGCUAUAGGGCUGCGCAUUGCACUGGCCAUCUCAGCUAUAGCCGUCUUCCUGGUCUUGGUGUCUGCCUGUAUCCUUCGAUUUGGCACCAGGUCUCUCUGCAACUCCAUCAUCUCCUUGAACACUACAAUUAGCUGUUCUGAAGCCCAGAAAAUUCCAUGGACACCCCCUGGAACUGCUCUGCAGUUUUACUCCAACCUACACAAUGCUGAAACCUCUUCUUGGGUGAAUUUGGUAUUGUGGUGUGUGGUCUUGGUGCUCCAGGUCGUGCAGUGGAAGUCUGAAGCCACCCCAUACCGGCCUCUGGAGAGGGGUGACCCUGAGUGGAGCUCUGAGACAGAUGCUCUCGUUGGGUCACGCCUUUCCCAUUCCUGAAGAAUAAGCGGAGUGCUUCCUGCAGCCGAAGACUCCAUGCCCAAGUGCCUGUAAUCCCCCCCC